UCCAUUUCAAUUCUAAACGCAUUUUCCCAUACGUUGGGAGUAAAAUUGUAGAACUAAUCUUUAUAUACAACGGCAAUUUUGUCCAACAAUUUAUUGAUGUUAUAUAUUAGCUCACAAGAUUAAGUGUUGAUGCCUGCAAAAGUAGUUUCAUAUAAUGUACUAAAGACUUCGAAUCAAUUCUUGUUCAUGCAGAAAAUAAAUCACCACUCCCUAAGAUCCCUGCAAUAUAUGAGAAUAGUCACUCCAUCCAUAAUGCAAAAGAGAUAUGGAAAUCUUCUAAGUAUUUUAUCCAAAUUAGAAAAAUUAUGUAUUUAGCAAGUCUCCAAGAAAUAGUAUACUUGCUAUUGUAACUAUCGGUUAAUACCUAUGUGUUAGCUUGUUAAUCCCGUUUAAGAUGCUGCCUUCCACCAUGCACAAGUGCAAAGCCAAGAGAUACUACCAUUGCAACUAGAUACCCAGUUAUUGCUCCAUAAGUCACACAUAUUGGCCAGUCCUGCCAUGGCCUUUCCCAGUCAAGUGGCAUCGGCCAAGCCCCAAACCAAGCUCCAAUUAGAGCCCCAUGUGCUGGUAUACAAAUCAUAUACUCUAAAGAUUCAUUUGGCCUAAUAAAAAAAAAAUUUAAUUUCCACAUCAGGACCAAAAAAAUUUGUAGAGAAAAUUCAACCAGCAGCUUUAUUUAUACAUUUUAACAAUGCUACCUUAAGUUCUUAAAAUUUUCAACAAGUUGCUUUGCUGUUCAAAUUUAUUUACUGAGAUAUGAUUUAUUUUAAUAAAUGUCUUGCACAUUAAUUGAGUUCCCAGCAAAAAGCAAGGCCCAAAGUGUGAUUAUUUCUCUGAAAUGCAAAAAAAUACAAGGGAUCAGAAGAAAGUACAUGCACCAAAUUCUCUCUAAAAGCUAAAGGAGACACUUAAGGAACCUAUGCUGCGUAAAUGGCUAAGCAUGCAGAUAAAUCAUCAAAAGAUUUUAGACAAUGUUGCUUUGGCUAGAGGAAUAGUAUUGAACAAGGGUAUGUAUUUGAGAGACAUUUGCUCAAAUUUUUCAUAGAUUCUUCCACUGGUUUGAGGUAUCAAUUCAUGUAUCCUUAUAUGACACAGGUAUUUUAGGGUCAAAUGAAUGUGUGGUGUUGGAAAACUUACUUUGUAUGUGCAAAUAUACGUUGCCAAUGUGACGAUGAUGAACCAAAAACAGAAGCUGCAGGCACAAACUGCCACAAGACAAGAUUGUUUAAUAAUAUUGUAAAGGCAUAGCACUACUGACAAGGGAAAACAAACACACUCAAAUCACAAUAACUUGAGUUACCAAGGUAAUCGUACUCCCUUUCCUUUUGAAGCAAAAAUGCACAUUGGAAAUUAAUUAAAAAAAAACAAAGUAUAAAUAUUAGUUCACUUACAUGAACCUUCACAUGUAAUUAAUACUUGAGAAUGAUUCUGUAAAUAAUUUAAUUUUCGAAUGAUAUAAAAAAUAAAAAGAGUACAUUAUUAAUGAAAUAGAAUAAAAAGAUGGUCUUAUUAUUUUCAAAUUAAACCCUUCAAAUAGUUAAUAAACUAGCAUAGCACAAGGAUGAUAGAUACUUACCAUGCAUGAUGACAUAAGAAGAGACCAAUUAAUGGUCUUUGGUAAGUAACUGUCUCCAAUAACAAAAAAGCAAAGUCAAAAAACUCUUGUACUUGAAAAAGAAAUGAUAACAAGGGAUUAAGUUCUUGUCCUAUCAGAAUUAUAUAAAACAAUAACACAUCAAACAUAUACAUAUGUUUCUGUCUUCAUAAUUCUGAAACCAUAAAUCAUAGUUGAGGUUGGACAGCCACCACCACCGUUGAAGUUAAAUACCCCAGCUGAAUUUUUCAACCACAAACAAUUUACUUGCACAAUCAAAAAUCAGGAGGAAGAAAAGGCAAAUAAAUGACAAUUUGAAUCAUGCAGGGGGAUUUAAUACCUGAUAUAGUGAUGAAAAUCAUGUAGGGGACUGUAGAACAUGAAACCCUUCCCUUCCAACCUCAAAUCUGAUUUCUGUUUUCAGAAUCAUUUUAAAAGAUGGGAAUCAAUUGACCAGUAGACCACAUACUCGAUGCCAACAGGUGCGCCUAAAACAAUUGCUCCAAGUGCAGUCACAAGAGCCCCUAAGAAUUGAAAGUACAAAAAAUAUGGUAAGCUGACAGUGUAAGAUGACAAAACAGCAAGGACUUGAAACUCGUAAUAGAAAGAGAGGGAGGGAAUGACAAGAAUAGGCUAACAGUAAAGACAGUAGAAAUCCCACUCAGCAUUGAAUAGCCCACUCCACCACUAAUAUGAUUGUGAAGCUUAAAGAGAGUUAACAAAUGAAUGGAGCACCCAACCAGGAAGGUGAACAAAGUCCAGUGGCGAUAUUAGCACUAGCAGUAGCACCAUUAAAUAUGGUAUAGCCUGAAAUCUAAGGGACAAUUUAUAUGAAACCAAACUCAAAUUACCUCUGUCAUCAAUUUUUCUUUGUCACUUACAAAAAUGCUGAACUUAUAAGAUGAUUUCAGUUUUAUGCAUGCAUCCAAAUGCAUGUACAUUUACAAGAUUCUGAACAACCAUCUCUAAUUUUUUGUUAACAAAACUAAAAUAAUUUAAGAAAUAAAUAGUUGUUAUUAUGGGCAUAAACUAAAGCAAAGCCAAAAAAUUUUCACACUUAAAAACAACUAAGGCAUUUAUAUAAGAGUAACCAACAUUGAAAAUGUCAUUGAAGAACACUGCCUAACACCACUUGAUCAAGAUAUGAGUUGUGAAAAUAUCCAAAGCUUUCUUUUACAGGCCGCAUUCAGUGUGAUAACUUUUGAAUCUUCAGACUGUAGAUGAACAAAAUACACAUUGCAAUUGCUACUAUUUUGCCCAACCUAAAGCAUACAUUUACUAUUAGGGAUCACAUAAACAACCUAAAAUAUUGCAUGUAUACUUCCAAGCUGAAAUAUGCAUAUAUAGAAUUGUCUAGCCAUUUAAUUCAACAUGUAUAAUGAAUGUAUAUACCGAACAAACACAAAAAGAAAAGGCAAGUUUGAUACUAACCAACAGGAAGAGCUAAUAUGCCUCGUCCAACAGCUUUCAAGUAAUUAAGCUAUUUCCGCCCCAAUUUUUCUUUCUUUUGCUUUCCCACAUUUUCUGAACAUUUUCCAAACAACCAAACGAGGAAGCUAGAAAAAUAAAUAAAUAAGCCACUGAAUUGAUAGUACCGAGCACUGUUGAGGAUUGAGUCGAAACCAACUGUAAAGAAGUAUGACGAUUGGACUCUCUACAAUCUGAAGAAGGAGAACAAACAAAUUCAUACAAAAAAAAAAAGAACAACAAAGUCAGAGAGAGAGAGAAAGAGAUACCCAGAUCAGACGGAGGGUGCAUGAAGGAUCAGAGAUCACAUUGAUGGAGUAGAGAUUGUGGGCCAUCCAUAAAGCAAUUGCUAAACCAAGUCCGCAGAUCAUAUGGAUCGAAAAUACUUGCAGAGCUGAUAAUGACUGGGAGGAAUUCUCUGCGUUGGAAGCUUUUGCAAUACUGCUUUUCUUCUGCUUCUUCUCUUUUUCCUUCAUCUCUGCCACCGUGAGUUGGUUCAGUACCGUGAUUUUGAACAGCCGGUUCUCUUCCCGACGGCUCCAACAUACAUCCAUGGACCGAACUGGGCCUAAUGUACCAGAAACAAACCGAUCCGAAGUGAGCC
rnacentral:misc_RNA from 1 species